CACGACAGUUAUGAUGCUAAUUGUUUGAAAAAAACGCAACAGGUGCGCAGGAAACGCUAACUGCAACCGACGUUCGCUAAGCCCCGCCCCCUUAGCGAACGUGCUCGAUUCGAGCUCCAUUCAAGCGCAGCAAGCAGACAGAGGCUGAUGGAGGCAGGCUUAAUACUGAGCAGGCUUAUCACUUCUACUGUCCACCUUGUCAGCUGGAGGACAGCUGUUGUUAGCUAGCUCCAGCUAGCUCUAGCUAGCUAACUAACGUUAGCCAGUGCCUCGAGCGGGAGUUUUCAUUGACAGGCGAGUGAUUCUGAGCAGAUGCUGUCUUCGGUUAGCUCCUCCAAGAAUAUGACAGAGAAAAUCAAUUCAUUUUCACCGGCUGGAGUCUUACUGUCUUUUCAGCAGCAAUUCCAUUUGCACUUGACCAGAACUGAGAUUACUGGUGUAAGAUGCAAUACAGGAAAGACAGGGCUUCAACAUCAGAUCCAUCAUUAUGGUCAGCAUGGAGUCAGGGCUGUUAACUGCUUGCUGCCAGGCCGUGGCCUCCCCACACAACCCAUACACCCAGUGGGGAACUGUGACUUCAUAACCACACUACUAAAAAAAAGAAAUGCAGUCGGCAAAAAGAAAACAUCAACAAGGUUUCUACUUGUUUAUAGGAAAUUCCCAAAGGGCAGCUCUUGUCAUGGUGCAGUUUAUAAAAUUCAAACGUGACUCACAUUGACCGCUGGGUUGUGUUUAUGCCACACGUGACUUUUUUUCGCUCUCCCAUAAUGCUUGAGGUUAUUCAACUUUUAAACUCCUUCAGGCAUGUGUUUCUACAAAUACCUCUUUUAUAUCAGAUGAAUUCAUACAGUUGAACUGUAGCUUUCGAGGAGCAUCAACUGCCCGCUGCUGUAAUGCAUCAGUCACGGUCACUGGCAGGAAAAGUUCCGAACUUUUAGUACUUUCUAGUACUUGUCAAUCGAUCCUUUUGAUUCCUAAACUCUUGAUUCUACUAUGUUGACAUUUGUAUUUUUAUUUUUCACUGCAUUCUACAAAUUUAUUUACUCAUGGACAAUAACACAUUGCGUCACAGCUAUUUCAGUGUGUUUAGACACUUGUAGACAUAUUGAUGUAUGAUGAUGCAUGGACUCAACUGAACAAAGAGAAACUGCAAUAGGUAUGGAGGUACCACUCAGGACAGAACCUUGUGUGAGGAGUUUGUCUGAGCUGAUCCUGAGUUUAUCAUUACUUUGUGACCAUAUAUGGCUAAUGCAGCCAAGACAACGAUGAAAACUUGAGACCGACAUCAUCUGUCCCCGCCAUUGUUCCCUCCUUUUCACUUUUCUGUCGGAUACUUUUUUCGGUGCCAGAGAAGUUCCCAUCUGGGCACAGCCAAGUUUUCCAAAAUAGAAGCGUGGCUCUAGCGGCGCACCACCCAAAACCAGCAGUCACUCAGUCGUCUCUGUGUCUUUACCCUUAUUUUACAGAUUUUGCCCUCUUGCUCGAUGUGGCCGUAACAAGAGGGUGGUGGCACUGCGCACCAACACUCCUUCUGAUACAGUGCGUGUUUAACCAACAGAGUACAGGAUGAUGUGUUGAAAAGAGGACAGGGAGAGGGUUUCAGCUGGAGAUAUAGUAUUCAUUUAAAAUACUUUUUCACAGUUACACAGUGAUGCGUGGAAAAGGUUUACAACUGGUUUUAGUUUUCAUUUUGAAAAACAGUAACAACGUCUACCGAAGGAAGCAGGAGCCGAUGUCAUAUCCCAAGAGAAUCGCAAAAGACCUUGAGUCCAGCUACGUGAUCUGAUUGGAAAUGUAUGGUGCGUCUGAUGUUACAGAUGCGGUUUCACUGGUUUGCUCAAUCAUAAUUUAACAUGUCCCCUCUGUCGCAGGAAUCUGCCUCUCGCUCAGGUUACAGAUGACCAUGAAUCCUGCUUAUUAACCUCUGAUCCAAGCCCCUCAAAGAAAAGAGCUUAUUGACAAAGACAUGGGAGGAAUCGAUAAUGGCAUCAGGCUGCUCCCCUGGACUGCUUCAAUACAUGCUUGAUAUUAUACUGUAUGUCACAGCUCUUGCGGGGCUGGAAUGCAAAGAGAACUUGGAUAUGAAUAUAUAUAUAUAUAUAGAUAUAUAAAAAAGUUUAUUGGGGCAAGUGAACUAUUUCCCUGCAAGCUGAGUUCGCUGCAGUUUUUCCUGACAUUACUGACUGUAAGGGGGUUGCAAUCUUUUGAGAAAUCUUCAGAUUUUCAUACAGAAUUAAACAGUGGACCUCAAAUAUUGUUCAAGGAUACAUAUAAACAAUUUAAUGUGAUUUCUCUCUGCCAAAUUCUCUGUAGCGCUAAUGUAAGCUGCAUUCUUAACAAAACAACAAAUCUUAAAAUUUUAACCUAUAAUUUGGCAUCUUAAAUUUGUUUUAUUUGUUAUUUGUCGAUAUGAUAAUAAUAACUUGGAUUUAAAUAGGGCCUUACAAUGUACCCAAGGACACUUGACAGAGCUAGGAAACUGUAGAAUUUAAUUAAAUAAAACAAUUAUAAUACAAUACAGAAAAAAGUUGAAAAAUAGAAUAGAUAUUCUUAAAGGACCUAAUGUCAUCAUUACUUAUUGACUCAAAGUCAUCCUCUAGAUCUGUGACAUGUAAGUGUUUUCUCCACUUGCUCUGUCUUCCAACUCAUUUGUUUAUUUUCUAUUACCUUGAAUUUUCUCUCAGUGUUGUCUACUGCUCGAUCGUUUCUAUUCCACAUGUUCUGUCUCUCAGCAUUUACUUUUGCCACGUGUUGCUUCUAAAUAUGCUGUUCUGUCCUGUUUGAAAAGAAAAACAACAAAAAUCACAAAUGAAGACCAGAGUAUUCAUUAGUCGCAUACUUGUCCUCUCCACAAGCGGCAUCCAUUCAGUCGGCAUCGGUUGUGAUAAAAAGUCUUUGUCCAUCUCGACAUGCCGGAGCUCACUGAUGGGAGUCUGCCAGGAGACGACUGCCCGUCAUUACGACUCCCCAGUCCUGCAGGGUGCAUGUGGCUAAUCAACAGCUGAUGAAUGGAAGCAUGGGGUCACUCCGCAAGCUGCCUAAUAACGUCUGUCUGCCGGGUUCAUAACCCUCAGAGAUGAAAGGCGUCUCGUGGAUGAUGCUCCCAUCGCUGACCGCUGAGGUCAGGCUCCCUGGCCGCCCGUGUGGAUCUCAAGGGGGGCCGACUUGGAUAUUCUGUCCUUUGACUGCUGCCGAUGAAGUUGUUUUGAACAAUGACUUUUCUCUUCCUAAAAUAAACUAUGUGAUAAGAGUUUAAAUAGACUAAACCCAGUUUGUUGAACUAAUAUUCAGCUAAUAAAAGCAGAAUUCAUGUGCUUUUGUCCUGCAGCCAGAAACACACACA